UAGGGAAUCUUCCACAAUGGACGAAAGUCUGAUGGAGCAACGCCGCGUGAGUGAAGAAGGUUUUCGGAUCGUAAAACUCUGUUGUUGGAGAAGAACGUAUUUGAUAGUAACUGAUCAGGUAGUGACGGUAUCCAACCAGAAAGCCACGGCUAACUACGUGCCAGCAGCCGCGGUAAUACGUAGGUGGCAAGCGUUGUCCGGAUUUAUUGGGCGUAAAGCGAGCGCAGGCGGUUUCUUAAGUCUGAUGUGAAAGCCUUCGGCUCAACCGAAGAAGUGCAUCGGAAACUGGGAAACUUGAGUGCAGAAGAGGACAGUGGAACUCCAUGUGUAGCGGUGAAAUGCGUAGAUAUAUGGAAGAACACCAGUGGCGAAGGCGGCUGUCUGGUCUGUAACUGACGCUGAGGCUCGAAAGCAUGGGUAGCAAACA
rnacentral:rRNA from 2 species